rnacentral:lncRNA from 1 species
UCCACGUUGCCACAUAACCGCGGGCACGGCUUUCCGAAAGAUUUAACCCUGUAGGGGUGCUCCAACUAGUCCAUCACAAAUUACCACAAGCCGCAUAGAAAUCCUCAAUCACGAAGCUCGCGAUCUCGUCGGAUUCCCUAACGGAAAACCUCAACUCUGAGAUUACCCAAAGCAUCACCGGAAUCCCGAUGUACAAGAUAUCUCGUCAAAGGUAAAACUAAUCCAGCAAGGCCGCCCGACGUGUCGACGAACCCGAUAGGAGCCGCGUAUCUCGUUCUCAGGACACGACAGAUGGAACUAGCUACGGGUGCCAAACCUCGAGUUUCCUCGCGGUGGCCCCGCAGGCAGACCGUUUGGGACCAACACCAUCAGCACUGGCCCCCCUGUUUAUGUAAAAUUACUCCUCGGGUAGCGCUAACUCCCUAUGCAUUUCAAUUUAUCAAAAUUAUUAUGUUGGGCAAAUGUAGAACCAAAGUUGGGCCUUGCCAGACCAGCUUUAAUCUAAAACGAAUUAUCAAGGGGGUCCCCAUAACAACCCUGAUCGUGUUAGGAGUGCUCAAUUAUGAAACAUAACACCGGUAGCCGAAACUAACGGGGCAAAGGUGGAACAAAACACCAGGCUAGAAAGGCCGAGCCUUCCACCUUUUACCAAGUAUAUAGGUCCAUUAUAUUAAAUAGCAUUAAUAUGGUGAUAUGACAAGGGACCCAUGUUAUUACAUGGAAGCAACUGCACCUGCAACUAGCAACGCUACACAGGGUUAAGCAAGCGGUAACAUAGCCAAUUAGUGGUUUGCUAGGUCGAACAGGUUGAAGGUUAUCAUGGCAUUGUUGAGAGGCUGAUAUUUAACAUGUGGUAGGAAACGAGACAUAAUCGAUAGAAGCGGUAAAACUAGCAUGACAAUGAUAGUAAUGGUAUCUGGGGAAAUGGUCAUCUUGCCUGAGAUCCCGCUUGGAAGAAGAAUGACUCCGUGAAGGAGACGAACCGAUGUAGUCGAACGGGUCCUCACAAUCCGACACGCUUGCGGAACUCUAUCGAGACGAAGCAAACCGGAAAUACAAAUCAACACACGAUAUUCACCACACGAUGCACAACACAUAUGAUGCAUGAAUGGACUAAUGCAAGGCAUGACAAUCACAACAAUCAAACGCUACACAUUAAGUGAAGCUCGAUAUGCAACGAGUUGCGUAUCGACGAAACUCCACGUUUAAUUAUUAGUUCACACUUGUUUAAUAACACGAUAAUAUUAAAAUGUUGUUAACAUGUCAAGGGGUGAAGCACAAAUUAAACUACCUAUAUAGGCAUUUUAAAUGAGGCCGGAAAUGACAUAUAUCAUCUCCGAAAUGACCCCACGUGUUAAAUCUUAAUUCUGUCCAGAUUUGUUCUAAUCACAAUUUAGGUUAGUUAAACGGAAAAACAAAGUGGUUCACGUGAUUCUAGUCGUCGUUCUGGUCCAUUUACAUAUAUGGCACAUCUCCAACAGAGCUACGGACAAAUAGUUACGACCUAAACCGUUUUAACCACGUCGACACGCAAACCGAUGCAAACAGCACACUAAAUAGACUUAAACAUGCAUGAGAGUUGGAAAUUGUUAAUCUACGCAAAAUUCUAGUCAAGUUUCAUAUAUAACUUGUCUAGAUCCGGUGCACGGUCUAAAAGCCACGGGUGUUUGAAAAUCGAUGCCUUUUUCUGAAAUUCACAAAAUCCUAGUGCAGAAAAAAAAGGAGAAACAAAUAUGGGGCAAGCUGGGAUUCGAUCCGAGGAUACCUUGCAUAGGAAUUGGCUGCGCUAGCCACCCCACCUAGCAUGCUGCUCGUUGACAUGAGCAGUACCCACCGUAUACAACCUAUACUUACCGAACGGAUCUAAGAAAAAAACAACAUAGAUCAGAUACGGGGAUUGCUCACAUCGGGGUACAGAGAGGCCGCGACUAUGGUGAGCUGACGCAGAGAGGGACCGAGGUUUGACGGAUCCGGACAUGGGGAAUCCAUUCCCGGGGACGAGGGGCCUUGGGGUGAUGGGACGGGCGAGCUCCAUCGGCGGCAACAGCAGGCGUCACUCUGUCUCUGAAAGAAAGAAAAGAAGCAUAGAUGAGAGGGAUCAGAGGAGGAAGCAGAAGGAAGGAGGGGUCGCGAGAGAGGUGCGCUGGGCAGAGGGGCUGAGCCGGAACCAGGCUGGAUCUGGCCGACGAUGCGACGAAGGACGCCCGGGCCGGCGCGGGGGAGCUCCCCUCGGAAUCCAUGGCACCUGCAGGUUAGAACAGAGAGAAGGGAAGGUUAGGGAGAGAGGAGAAGAAGAGGAGGAAGGAGAAUGAAAGGAGAGAGCACAACAAGGAUAGGGUCCGACGGGGCUGAUUCUGAAUGUUCGAUCUACUGCUGCAUGCGGUGAGGGGAGGCAAGGCUCCUACCGCAAGGGUGCUGUCCGACUAGGUCCUUAGCAUGCACAGGAGGCUGCUGCAUCAGGCUGGCUCGACGGGCAGAGCAAGGAGGAGACCAGGUGGGGCGAGGGAGUCGGUGAUGUGCUGGGUCGGGCAAGGGCGGCAUUGGUUGGCUACGAGGGGAUCGGGACGAGAUCCCAAGGUGGGAGAGGCUUGCGGCGGCGGGUCGAUGUGACUAGGGAUGGAUGGGUGGAGCGGAAUUCUAGGCUAGGGUUGGACUGCUAUAUAUUCUCGGAUUAGGCUAGGGCUAUCUCAUCCCUUCGAUUGAAAUCGAACGGUCGAAAUUAUUAGGUUAGGGAGACCAAUGAACAAACCGAUGACAGUUUAGGGUAAAACGGGGUUGAUCCGGACCCAACGGUUACGACCGUGUGUUUCGGGUACCGGGAGGUUUUUCGACCCUCCAAUCGCGAACGUGCGGUCCGAUCGGGGAGGCGGGCUAGGGUUAGCUGUGUAGAGUGGCGUUGGCUAAGAAGAGAGGGAAGUGGUGCGGCGCGGCAAUGAUUUAUAACACACCGACAGACGUCCGACGGUAGACCGAAUACGGUGCCGCCACGGUCGACCGUUCGGGUACCAGACGAACUCCGAUCGCGACGAAAUUCGACAGGCGGCCUACCUAGAACUAAUCACGACCGCAUGCCAAGUUUCACCUUGAUCAGAGAAAGUUUUAAACGCACUUUAAAAACAGGGUUUUUAACGAUGCCGCGGGCGCGUGCGUGUGCGGUCGGUCUCAGAACGGACAACGUCGAGAACCGGCAACUACUAACGGAUGCAAGUUUUGAAAACUGGCGGCAACGGGGUGCCGAUGCAAUGCUGAUGAUGCGCAUGAUGCGAUGAUGAUGCGACAAAAGAAAAUAGACACACGACGAAAACGGAAAGAAAAGGGGAAUCUUCUGGAACGUCGGUCUCGGGCUGUCACAACUCUCCUACACUGCAAGAGGAUCUCGCCCCGAGAUCCAGGAAUGAAAGGGGGAGAGGAUGAGAAGGAACAUGAGGUAAAAAUCUUAGCCGCUUCUUUGACAAACGAGUGAAACCAACGAUCCUUGAAGGUUGCAAAGCGAUGAGGAAUGAUAUGAGAAAGAAGCAAGAAUUCACGGAAAAUUUCGGCAGCACUUCGGUAGGAAAAUGGGACAAAAAAUUCGAUAAGAAGAGAGAAUUAGACAAUAUUCAUAACAAACAACUAAAUAUAACAAGGGAGCACCAUGAUCUUGAUAGAACACCAAGAUAGACCCAAAAGAGCAACAUCACAAAGCCUCCGGAACAAAUAGAAUAGGAACUAGCUCAUACGGAAGAAGAGAAUGAAGAGAGAAUGACAACUAGUAACUCCAAUGAACUUGGCAAGCAUCCUUACAAGAAGAAUUGUGCGGAGUUGUUGGAAAAACAACAACGAAAAGAACAAGAAAGUAGUGGGCUUAUGGAAACCCUUUCAAACUAAUGAAGUGACAACCAGCCACUAACAGAAACAAGGAUUGAUUGGGAGAAACAAAAUAUGAACAAUAUCUUACACCAAGAGGAUACAUUGAGAACUUGGAUUAAUGUCAAGCACCAUGAUAGAAACAAUCCAUAGGAAAAGCUUUAGGUGAAAUCCAAACCAGGAUAGCUCAAUGAAGAAAUCAUGGGUUGAAAUAUGUCUCAUGAUCAUAGAAUUGGUGGUUUAAUUAUCUCAUUCUUGAAAGGAAAUCUUUUCGAGGCUCCUACACUAACAAGAAUGCUAUAAUAGCACCUCAAAGGAAAAGGAAUAACAAAUACACUUGGAAAUGCAAGAGAAGAAAAAUUGAGGUUGUCCAAUAAGAUUCUUGAAGAACACUUGAGAAUGGAUUGAAACCUUGAUGAACCACCAAGAAGGACCUCCGUAUACGAAUGAAUGAUGCAAAGAUAUCAAGGUAGAAAUGAAUAAGAUUAAAGGGCUUGCAAUGAUUUAGAUGAAGCUUCAUGAAGAGAUACUUGACAAUACUUGGAACUCCGGAAAGAAAAGAUUAGAACACUUGAGAAAAAGGAAUUGAUAUCACGAGCCACUCCGAAAGAAAGAUUGAAAUCACUAUGAAACAGGAAUAAGAAUUAUGUUAUGCUUAUCCUUCAUCAAGUUAAAUUUAUGACAAGCACCGGAUUUAGCAUACCACUUAUUCUUCUAGAAAUGAUUGAGGAAAUAUAUGAGCACAAACUAGACGAAGUCUUGAAGGAGACACCGGUGAGAAUUGAAAUGAAUGAGGCAACCAUGAAUGACUGGAGAUACAUGAGAAUGAAGAGAUCAUGAGCCACCUGAGAGAAAACUAGAACAAGGCACCGGAUAAUCGAGAGACGAAUGAAGAGACAACAAUUGAGAAGAAUUGAGGAUGAAGCUGAAAACUGAGAACGAAGAAUCUUCUGAAAUGAUGGCCUUCGGAGGAACGAGAAUGAAAACAACACAGAAAUGCACCAGAUAGCAAGAAAGGGAUUACUAACGAUAGAAACAAUUGAGAGGAUAACACGAAGCUGAGAUGACAAUCUUCACAAGAAUGGAGCAAGUUGAGAAUGACGACGAGAGACAGCACCAAGAAUAAUGAGACACUCUGGAAUAAAGAAGAAUGGAAGGUUGAGCCAAUGACGAAAAUAAAUUUGAAGCGAUGUUGAAGAAGGAAUAUGACUGAUGAAAUUCAUACUUACGUCACAUUUGUGAUCUCCGGGCAAGGAUUAAAAGAGCCAGAUAAGAUCCUGGGAAAACCUAUGGGUUAUGGGCCCACUCAAAGAAACCACCAUUGAAAAGAUUGCUUAGAAGAGAGAUAUUGCACCGGUAUGAAGAGAAGUAGAUGAGGCUGAGCACCUUGAAAUAAAUGAAAGAAUUGAAAACAAGAAUUCUGAGAUAACUUCAACGCUCCGGAUAUAAUAGAGAGAAACGACAACAAGAUAGACUGAUAAAAAUUUCCAACAUAGGAAAGAAUUACAAGGAUGAAAAGGAUAUAAUGAACACGGACAACUGAAUUAAAUUCACCGGAAAAAGAUAACCAGAUUGAAGGAAUGAUGCACUAGAACUCCUGAGAAUCUUCACAACGAAUCACCAGCUAGAAAAGGAAGAAGAGAUAGCGGAAGCAUCACUUAAUAUGACGGCACUUGGAUGAAAAUUGAAUCACUGAAGAAAAAGGGAGGGAGGGCGGGGAAAAACAAAGACAACUUGGGCUAGAUUUGAUGAACUCCGGAAUAAAAUGAGAGAAUGAUCUGACAAAAUUGGAGAGGAUAGGAUUACUUGAAGAGAAACACACCGGUUGAAAAGGAUUAACAUGACGACUCCGGUUGACAAGAAUUGAUAAGACGAUUGAUUAAGCAAAAGGAUUAGCCCUCUCAUAUGAAUAUGAGAACACUGCUUAGAAAAGAUGUGAAGUCACCGCUUGACAUCGAAGCAACUUGAAUUACCAUAUUCCAUAAAAGAAAGGGUGCGGCUUGCAAUUAGCCAGAACAAACUCAUGAGAAAGAUUUUGCCCGAUAUUUUCGUGGACAGGAAUCCACUAGAUGUCGAACCCCAACCUAACAUCAUGCAUUUGUUGGAAGAUUAUCCUAUAAGUAACUACUUGAAUUCCCACCUAUGAAUUCCCGAAAUAUCUGGUCAUGCAAUCUGGUACACGGAUACAAGGAGUAAUAACACACAACUCCUAUACUAACCCGUCACCUGUAUCACAUCCGUCAACACACAACCAGAAUCUCGGAUCUUCAUCUACAACAGACCCUCGUGAUCACAACGAUAAAAGUAUGGCAGUACUCCCGAACAAUCUGCACCAGUACUAGGGACAUCGGGGUUAUCUCGCCACUACUAGUAUUGAAGCAAUUACGAACAUCAUUCGUUCUGGGAUACUAAGAAAUCUGAAUGAUAACGAUGUGCUCAAGAAUCCCCUGGAGCUCAACUCCCCUGAAACUUAAAGCAGAUAGGGGGCACCAAGACAGAACUCCGUCACAUUGGCAUUAUCUAGAUCUCAAAAAUAGCCGCAUGAUCCUAAAUUUUUUUUUGAGUGAGAAGAGGAGUAGAAUUAAAUUAUUACGUCAAGAUUCCUCACCAGAGCUAGAAGAGGAGAAAAAAGAAUCCUACUCUCCGAUAUAUAACUAGACUCAAAGUAGUUUUUCUCUAGACUCGGCUCGGCCAAGUUCGAUCAAUCAAGGGGGCUCCUAGGUCGGUACUGCUCUGAUACCAACUUGUCACGCCCAAGAUGAGAUCCUAUCCUCAAUUUGGCACGAAGGCCUCGUCAGCGAUAGAAGCGCAUCUCGUCAUGUCGCAAGAAUGGAUAUCGUUACAUGUACAUGUACUGAAAAGAUGAGAUAUAUAUAUAGGAUUGGUUUACACUCGCCACAAGCUACAUCAGAGUCAUAUCAGUAUAUUACAUAAGCAUCAAGAGUAAGAGCAGGGUCCGACUACGGACGAAAACAAAAGAUAAAAUAAGAACGACGUCCAUCCUUGCUAUCCCAGGCUGCCGGCCUGGAACCCAUCCUAGAUCGAUGAAGAAGAAGAAGNGCCACAGGGGACUCAGCAAUCUCAUUUCCAAAGGUAUCAAGACUAGCAAAGCUUAAUGGGUGAGGUAUGGUUAAGUGGUGAGGUUGCAGCAACGGCUAAGCAUAUAUGAGGUGCCUAAACUUACGAGUACAAGAAAAUAAGAGGGGGAAGAUCUACGCAUAACGAACGUGAGCUACUGAUGAUCAAAUGAAUGAUCCUGAACACCUACCUACGUCAGACAUAACCCCACCGUGUCCUCGAUUGGAGAAGGAACUCACGAAAGAGACAGUCACGGUUACGCACACAGUUGGCAAGUUUUAAUUAAGUUAACUUCAAGUUAUCUAGAACCAGUGUUAAACAAAGUUUCCACGUUGCCACAUAACCGCGGGCACGACUUUCCGAAAGAUUUAACCUUGCAGGGGUGCUCCAACUAGUCCAUCGCAAAUUACCACAAGCCGCAUAGAAAUCCUCAAUCACGAAGCUCGCGAUCUCGUCGGAUUCCCUAAUGGAAAACCUCAACUCUGACAUUACCCAAAGCAUCAGCGGAAUCCCGAUGCACAAGAAUUCUCGUCAAAGGUAAAACUAAUCCAGCAAGGCCGCCCGACGUGUCGACGAACCCGAUAGGAGCCGUGUAUCUCAUUCUCAGGACACGACGGAUGGAACUAGCUACGGGUGCCAAACCUCGAGUUUCCUCGCGGUGGCCCCGCAGGCAGACCGUUUGGGACCAACACCAUCAGCACUGGCCCCCCUGUUUAUGUAAAAU